CUGACUGAGGUCCCCAGUCCCAGUUCCCAGUUUAUACAGCGCCCAUCCCGGUACAAGUAGGAUGGAGGAAAGGGCCAGUACCCAGCCCAACACGUACGCCCAGGCUGGGUAUACAUACCAGCGAUUAAAGGUCAAAGGUGUUGUAGCUGCCGAGCACAGUUAAAGAGCCCACACCCACACUGAAUGAGAAGAAGAUCUGAGCCCCAGCCUCCAACCAAACCUGCUCCAACAAAGCAAAGCGUUACCUGUAUCUGAACGUGAGCUGGCUGAACCAUCUCUGCGGAAACCCUCUCCAGCUUGUUUCCUCUGCUGUCUCGGCCUGUUAGUCGAACACAGAAGGGGACUCUGAGAACAGAGUCCAACCGCCCCACCAGCUCCUCCACAGAGUAGGAUGAUGAUGAUGAAGAGGAGGAGGAGUUCAGCUUCACCUGCUGGAGGCUCUCCUAGUCGGCUCCGAGCAG